rnacentral:rRNA from 1 species
AGAGGGUUCGGCCCUCGGCGUAAUGCUCACCUAACACGUGGAUAAUCUGACCUUAGGUGGGGCAUAAUCUCGGGAAACUGAGGCUAAUUCCCCAUAGAUCUGAUCUGCUGGAAUGCUUUCAGGUUUAAAACUCCGGUGCCUAAGGAUGAGUCUGCGGCCUAUCAGGUUGUAGUGGGUGUAAUGGACCCACUAGCCUUCGACGGGUACGGGCCUUGAGAGAGGAAGCCCGGAGAUGGACUCUGAGACACGAGUCCAGGCCCUACGGGGCGCAGCAGCUGCGAAAACUUCGCAAUGUGGGAAACCACGACGAGGGAAUUCCAAGUGCUGGCGCAAUGCGUCAGCUGUUCUUUAGCCUAAAAAGCUAAAGGAGUAAGGGCUGGGUAAGACCGGUGCCAGCCGCCGCGGUAAUACCGGCAGCUCGAGUGGUAGUCGUUUUUAUUGGGCUUAAAGCGUCCGUAGCCUGCUCUAUAAAUCCUUGGGUAAUCGGCCAGCUUAACUGACCGACUUCUGAUGAGACUGUAGAGCUUGGGACGGGNAAANUCAAAGUACUCCAGGGGUAGGGGUGAAAUCCUGUAAUCCUGGGGGACUAC